AGCCUUGGGUACUACUACUAGGCUAGACCAAGGCCUAGUAGUAUAAGAUAUGUAAGAUAUAUUUAUUUAUUCGUCCAAUUUGUAACACUCUGAAAAUUGCUUUCCUUUUUUGGCCUAGAAAACAAUAAAAACACAAAAAUACAGAGCACAGACUAAUAAACAAAAAAUAUGUCCCAAUAAAAACUUCACACAAAAAAGAAGUUAAAAAUAAACACAAUUAUUGGCAAAUUACCUGCUUAUUAAAAGUAGAAAAAGAAUUCGGAAUAAAAGUGCCUGUACCUAGAUGUACGAGAACGUGGUACACACAAUCUUAUGCCAGACCUAUUGUAAUUUAAAAAAUAUUGAGAGGGGGACGGUGUGUUUGAUUAAAGAGUAUCAACUUGUAAGUAAAAGACAUCUUUCAAUCAUUAUGCAAUCAAGUAUGGUUUUAAUAGGGUUAUAUCACAGAUCGUGGACAUAAAGACCAUUUAAGACCGGCAAUAUUUAAACAGUAAUUUGACCAAUUUUGCAGAGAGCAUUUCACCUAAUUCUGCAGCGUCGUUGGAUUUUAUAUGGCAGCCAAUUCCAGCAGUCCAUAACAAGCUUGUUUUUGCUGUACCUACGCUGUACAUUUUCAUCCUGAAUUAAUUUUGUAAUCACAUUUUAAAUCAGUAAGAUUCUGUGUUAACAUUUUUCACAGGUGCCUUUUUAUCAGGCAUUUAACCAAAGAGACAUGUACAAAUAGGCUAGAAUAGCAAUUUUUGGACCAGUUCUCUAAAUUUCAUCUGAUAUUGAGUGCACAAAGUUACCGAUACAAGUUUUAUACAUAUUUUACUGUAUGUACAAUAUAAACAAUAAACUAUCCUAUUGUGGGAGGCACAUUUAUAAACCAAAAAAGUGGUAAAAUAUUUUGAUAAUAUUAUUAUACAGUGAAAGCAUUUCAUUUACAUCAUGUUUUUGCACAGUACAUAAAUCAGAUAGUUUUUUUAUAGAACGUAGUAACUGAUCAGUACAAGUAACAAAGUAUAAUAAAAGUAAACAAUCAGUAAGUCUUAAUAUCUAAUACCUUAGUGUCCAAAUGAAAAGUCAAUAAAUAAUAGGCUUGACUUUUGUUUACUGGUCUAGGCAUCAAUACAAAUUUGUUUCUUGAAAAAUGAUACAUUGUCUUUAAAAAGUAGUCGAAAUUUUUAUAUGUUCCCAAUAUUGUUUUUUGAUUGAAGUGCAAUGUUAAUGCCCAAUAUUAUUAUUUUUUAAAUAUUGGAAUUUGACACAAAUGCCACAAUAACAAAACCUGGUUUACAAUUUAAUUUAGCAGAACUCAGAACAUUUUCUUACACCUUUAUUAGGCUGCCUCUACAUACAGGCAUUUUCCUUUGUAGAAAAGUAACAGUUUGUCAUUACUAUCUAUGAAUGUACUGUAGGAAUAUAAAGAAUGCUGUAUGACUUAGAUACACAUUUGCGGGCGUAAUAACAAAUUUUAAAAACACCUAGGUAUUUUUUUCUGGAAUUUCCAUUGUUCGUGGCAGCGGGUGUACUAAUUGAACAAAAAGAAUAUUUUCUUUUUAUUUGACAUCAUCAGUUUGUGCGAGAGAUGAAUUUGCGAAACAAGGUAUAAAAAAGUCUCGCCUAGUUGAAGUAAAAUUACAAGUAGGCCGCUGCAAUCAGUUUAAUCCU